UACGUAGGGUGCGAGCGUUGUUCGGAAUUACUGGGCGUAAAGCGCACGUAGGCGGACUGUUAAGUCAGGGGUGAAAUCCUGGAGCUCAACUCCAGAACUGCCUUUGAUACUGGCGAUCUCGAGUCCGGGAGAGGUGAGUGGAACUGCGAGUGUAGAGGUGAAAUUCGUAGAUAUUCGCAAGAACACCAGUGGCGAAGGCGGCUCACUGGCCCGGUACUGACGCUGAGGUGCGAAAGCGUGGGGAGCAAACAGG
rnacentral:rRNA from 1 species